CGGAGCUGAAAUCAGUCGAAGAUACCAGCUGGCUGCAACUGUUUAUUAAAAACACAGCACUGUGCAAACACGAAAGUGGACGUAUACGGUGUGACGCCUGCCCGGUGCCGGAAGGUUAAUUGAUGGGGUUAGCGGCAACGCGAAGCUCUUGAUCGAAGCCCCGGUAAACGGCGGCCGUAACUAUAACGGUCCUAAGGUAGCGAAAUUCCUUGUCGGGUAAGUUCCGACCUGCACGAAUGGCGUAAUGAUGGCCAGGCUGUCUCCACCCGAGACUCAGUGAAAUUGAACUCGCUGUGAAGAUGCAGUGUACCCGCGGCAAGACGGAAAGACCCCGUGAACCUUUACUAUAGCUUGACACUGAACACUGGUCCUUGAUGUGUAGGAUAGGUGGGAGGCUUUGAAGCGUGGACGCCAGUCUGCGUGGAGCCGUCCUUGAAAUACCACCCUUUAAUGGCUGGUGUUCUAACGUGGACCCGUAAUCCGGGUUGCGGACAGUGUCUGGUGGGUAGUUUGACUGGGGCGGUCUCCUCCCAAAGAGUAACGGAGGAGCACGAAGGUUAGCUAAUCCUGGUCGGACAUCAGGAGGUUAGUGCAAUGGCAUAAGCUAGCUUGACUGCGAGAGUGACGGCUCGAGCAGGUGCGAAAGCAGGUCAUAGUGAUCCGGUGGUUCUGAAUGGAAGGGCCAUCGCUCAACGGAUAAAAGGUACUCCGGGGAUAACAGGCUGAUACCGCCCAAGAGUUCAUAUCGACGGCGGUGUUUGGCACCUCGAUGUCGGCUCAUCACAUCCUGGGGCUGAAGUAGGUCCCAAGGGUAUGGCUGUUCGCCAUUUAAAGUGGUACGCGAGCUGGGUUUAGAACGUCGUGAGACAGUUCGGUCCCUAUCUGCCGUGGGCGCUGGAGAAUUGAGGGGGGCUGCUCCUAGUACGAGAGGACCGGAGUGGACGCAUCACUGGUGUUCGGGUUGUCAUGCCAAUGGCACUGCCCGGUAGCUAAAUGCGGAAGAGAUAAGUGCUGAAAGCAUCUAAGCACGAAACUUGCCCCGAGAUGAGUUCUCCCUGAGACUUUAAGUCUCCUGAAGGAACGUUGAAGACGACGACGUUGAUAGGCCGGGUGUGUAAGCGCAGCGAUGCGUUGAGCUAACCGGUACUAAUGAACCGUGAGGCUUAACCUU
rnacentral:rRNA from 1 species